rnacentral:rRNA from 1 species
CACGUAGGCACCAAGCGUUGUCCGGAUUUAUUGGGCGUAAAGCGCGCGCAGGCGGUCGCGUAAGUCUGCUGUGAAAUCUCCCUGGCUCAACCGGGAGGGGGCGGCGGAGACUGCGGGACUGGAGGGACCUAGAGGCCGGUGGAAUUCCCGGUGUAGCGGUGAAAUGCGCAGAUAUCAGGAGGAACACCAAUUGCGAAGGCAGCUCGCUGGGACGUUACUGACGCUGAGACGCGAAAGCGUGGGGAGCAAACAGG